rnacentral:rRNA from 1 species
AUGGCGGGCAAGGCAUUCCAGCCUGACGGCGGCUGCAUGAAGAACUUUGACGAGUUCGUCAAGAUAGUUUGUCGGGUGUGA